CCUUGAGCAUGGACAGCCUGGAUCUGCUGGGUGAAGGGAGAAGUUAUGUCCAGGGUGGGACAGAGAGGAUGGCGAGAGAUUUCCUCACUGCUCAGAACAGUGGGAAAUUCAAAACUUAGGGAUUAUUUCUGAAAUUUUCCAUUUAAAAAUUUCCAUUUAUAAUUGACCAAGGGUAACUGAAACCAGAGAAAGCAAGACUGAGGAUAAGGGAGGGGCCUCCUGUACUCCAAGAGCACUGAAUCCGGAAAAACUCAACACAUUGAUGGAGUCAUAUAUUUAAUUUUUUCUUAAAAGCCACCUGCGGGAUAUUGUAGAAACACUGCGCUGCCAAUCACAGCUUGUGAUGUGACACAUUCAUUCUGCAAGUUUAAACUUCCCCUAGCAAAUCUUUAUGAGCACCUACUAUGCAUCAGGCUGUUGUCGUGAAUAAAACAAGAUCCAUAUCCCGAGGGAGUGUGCCUUCCAGGAGAGAAAGACGGCAAUGUGUAAGGAGCGUUAGAAGAAGAUGUUGUCUUUUGGGUGUAGAAAGUGCAAAGAGCUCCUGGGAAGGUGCUGCUGGAUGCAGUUUGCAACCACCUCAACCUCGUGGAAGGUGACUAUUUUGGCCUCGAGUUUCCUGAUCACAAAAAGAUCACGGUGUGGCUGGAUCUCCUAAAACCCAUUGUGAAACAGAUCAGAAGGCCAAAGCAUGUUGUUGUUAAGUUUGUGGUGAAAUUCUUUCCGCCUGACCACACACAACUCCAAGAAGAACUCACAAGGUACCUGUUCGCGCUGCAGGUGAAGCAGGACUUGGCUCAAGGCAGGUUGACGUGUAACGACACCAGCGCAGCUCUCUUGAUUUCACACAUUGUGCAAU
rnacentral:sRNA from 1 species